rnacentral:lncRNA from 1 species
ACCUUCGUGUAAGCCAUCAUGUAUGUUUUCGCUUGUCCAUUCUCUUUGCUUGAAUUGUACAUGUGUUGAGCCUUGGGCCGACAGGGGAGGCUCUGUCCGUUCGACGUCUGUUCGACAUGUCCGGAUCGGCCAAAAGGAUCGGUUCCGGGGAGUGACAGCGGCAAUGCCUCUUCUUUCUCCGCCUCCCCCGGCCUCCGCCUUCGCCGGCGUCGGAGAAGGAGAAAAAGAACUCAGAGCGGGCCCAAGUAAGGGCGGAGAGGACGGAGACGAUGAGGUCAUUUCCAUAUUUUGAGGCUCCGAUGCGGCUCGUAGAGUAAAAAGGCUCACGUUGGUGAGGAUGGAGGUCGAAUGGGGAGGGAAAUGAGGGAGUCAAGGUAAGAGGAAGAAGAAGAAGAAGAUGAGGUGAUAAGGUUGGAGAAUAGUAUAAUUUUCUCUGAAAUAAUAUAAUUUUUAUCUCAAAGAGUACAAUGUUUAUAUUAAAUAGUGUAAUUUUAUUUUAAUAGUACAACCUUUAUCUUCUUCUUUUUUCUUUUUUCUUUUUUUUUUUUCU